GAGAUGUCUCUGAAUUUUCACAUCUCACAUUUCUUUUGAGCUACUGCAAUUCUGCUUUGCUCACACAACACAGGGCCUUCUUGGAUGCGGGAGUGCCGCAAUGGGCUGUCCUUCACCAGAGUCUCCAAUCUACUCCAAAGUUCUUCAGAAAGACCAUGAGAGUGUACUUGUUACCACUUCUUCUGAUCUCCAUCCUCCCAAAUACUUAACUAGCUCUGGCAAUUAGUGCAUCAACCUCAUCAUCUGGGUGUGUAUCCCCAGAAGGUGUACUGCCAAGCCCUAUUACGAGUGCCCUCCUUCCCC